rnacentral:rRNA from 1 species
GACGGAGGGUGCAAACGUUGUUCGGAAUCACUGGGCAUAAAGAGCACGUAGGCUGCGCGCUAAGUCAGGUGUGAAAUCCCCCGGCUCAACCGGGGAACUGCACCUGAUACUGGCGUGCUCGAGGACGGUAGGGGUGAGUGGAACUCCAGGUGGAGCGGUGAGAUGCGUAGAUAUCUGGAGGAACACCGGUGGCGAAAGCGGCUCACUGGACCGUCUCUGACGCUGAGGUGCGAAAGCUAGGGUAGCAAACGGG